GUCACUGAUAAAAAUGUUAAAUAAAACUGGCCCCAGUAUUGAACGCUUUGGAACACCACCAGUGACCAGCUACCAACUGGACUGAACUCUGUUCACCUUGAGAGCAGCAAUCCAGACAGUAUUUCACACAGUAAACUUCACGUCUGUCCAAGCUAUGAGCAGCCAGUUUCUCCACAAGAAUGCUGUUGGUGUUACUUUACUAAAAUCCAGUUCACAGAAAGCUGGGUCCCUGAUGUCAGCCACCUCCUGUGCCACCCUUCCAGACCUGAGAUGAAGGAG
ensembl:lncRNA